rnacentral:misc_RNA from 1 species
GAUGAAAAACGCAGCAAAAUGCGAUAAGUAAUGUGAAUUGCAGAAUUCAGUGAAUCAUCGAAUCUUUGAACGCACAUUGCGCCCGCUGGUAUUCCGGCGGGCAUGCCUGUUCGAGCGUCAUUUCAACCCUCAAGCCCCCGGGUUUGGUGUUGGGGAUCGGCUCUGCCCUUCUGGGCGGUGCCGCCCCCGAAAUACAUUGGCGGUCUCGCUGCAGCCUCCAUUGCGUAGUAGCUAACACCUCGCAACUGGAACGCGGUGCGGCCAUGCCGUAAAACCCCAACUUCUGAAUGUUGACCUCGGAUCAGGUAGGAAUACCCGCUGAACUUAAGCAUAUCAAUAAGCGGAGGA